rnacentral:rRNA from 1 species
UUUAUCGGAGAGUUUGAUCCUGGCUCAGGACGAACGCUGGCGGCGUGCCUAAUACAUGCAAGUCGAGCGGACAGAUGGGAGCUUGCUCCCUGAUGUCAGCGGCGGACGGGUGAGUAACACGUGGGUAACCUGCCUGUAAGACUGGGAUAACUCCGGGAAACCGGGGCUAAUACCGGAUGCUUAAUUGAACCGCAUGGUUCAAUUAUAAAAGGUGGCUUCGGCUAUCACUUACAGAUGGACCCGCGGCGCAUUAGCUAGUUGGUGAGGUA